GCCGCAGCUGCCCUUCUCCUGGCAGCAGCCGCUGUUGCCACCACCGCUUCUGGAGGCAUGGAGCUGAGCAGAGGCAGCCGCGGAGCAGGAGCUCCACCAUUCCGCUGGCUGCUGAAGACUCCGGACCGGUUCGGCCGGCGCCUUCCGCGCCCCCGACCCCAGAGUCUGGCCGCCGCCGCCGCCGCGCUCCUCCUCCUGCUCGGGGCCGCCGCGCUCCUCCUCCUGCUCCGGCGGCCCACAGCCAGCUGCUUCCCGCGCCUGCCGCCUCGCGCCAGGCGCCGCGCCGCCACCACUGCCACCCUCAAAGCCCCGCGGCCCACCCUGGUCCCAUCCGCCAGGCCCGGCCAGGCCACCUGCAGUCGGACCCGGGUCUUCCCUGAGGUGAACAGCCUGAGGAGCCGCGAGUACUGGGACUACGAAGCCCACGUCCUGAGCUGGGGUAAUCAAGAUGAUUACCAACUGGUUCAAAAACUUGGUUGGGGCAAGUAUAGUGAAGUAUUUGAGGCCAUUAACAUCACCAACAAUGAGAGAGUGGUUAUAAAAAUUCUCAAGCCAGUGAAGGAAAAGAAGAUAAAACGAGAGGUUAAGAUUCUGGAGAACCUUCGUGGUGGAACAAAUAUCAUUAAGCUGAUUGACACUGUAAAGGACCCUGUAUCAAAGACACCAGCUUUGGUAUUUGAAUAUAUCAAUAAUACAGAUUUUAAGCAACUCUACCAGAUCCUGACUGACUUUGAUAUCCGGUUUUAUAUGUAUGAACUACUUAAAGCUCUGGAUUACUGCCACAGCAAGGGAAUCAUGCACAGGAAUGUGAAACCUCACAAUGUCAUGAUAGAUCACAAACAAAAAAAGCUCCGACUGAUUGAUUGGGGUCUGGCGGAGUUCUAUCAUCCUGCUCAGGAGUACAAUGUUCGAGUUGCCUCGAGGUACUUCAAGGGACCAGAGCUCCUGGUGGACUAUCAGAUGUAUGAUUACAGCUUGGAUAUGUGGAGUUUGGGCUGUAUGUUAGCGAGCAUGAUAUUCCGAAAGGAGCCAUUCUUCUAUGGGCAGGACAACUAUGAUCAGCUUGUUCGAAUUGCCAAGGUUCUGGGGACAGAUGAGCUAUAUGGGUAUCUGAAGAAGUACCACAUAGACCUAGAUCUACACUUCAAUGAUAUCCUGGGACAACAUUCACGGAAGCGCUGGGAAAACUUUAUCCAUAGUGAGAACAGACACCUUGUCAGCCCCGAGGCCCUAGAUCUUCUUGACAACCUCCUGCGGUACGACCAUCAACAGAGAUUGACCACCAAAGAGGCCAUGGAGCACCCAUACUUCUACCCGGUGGUGAAGGAGCAGUCCCAGCCUUGUGCUGAGAACACAGUGCAUUCCAGUGAUCUCACUGCAGCGCGAUGAAGCCUGGGGAAUCGGUGGU